rnacentral:rRNA from 1 species
UACGAAGGGGACUAGCGUUGUUCGGAAUCACUGGGCGUAAAGCGCACGUAGGCGGUUCGUUAUGUCGGAUGUGAAAGCCCUUGGCUUAACCGAGGAAGUGCAUCCGAAACUGGCGAGCUAGAGUACGAAAGAGGAUCGCGGAAUUCCCGGUGUAGAGGUGAAAUUCGUAGAUAUCGGGAGGAACACCGGUGGCGAAGGCGGCGAUCUGGGUCGAUACUGACGCUGAGGUGCGAAAGCGUGGGGAGCGAACAGG